rnacentral:rRNA from 1 species
CCUACGGGAGACUGCAGUGAGGAAUAUUGGUCAAUGGACGAGAGUCUGAACCAGCCAAGUAGCGUGAAGGAUGACUGCCCUAUGGGUUGUAAACUUCUUUUAUAAAGGAAUAAAACGAGGCACGUGUGCCUUUUUGCAUGUACUUUAUGAAUAAGGAUCGGCUAACUCCGUGCCAGCAGCCGCGGUAAUACGAAGGAUCCGAGCUUUUACCGGAUUUAUGGGGUUUAAAGGGAGCGUAGAUGGGUUGUUAAGUCAGUUGUGAAAGUUUGCGGCUCAACCGUAAAAUUGCAAUUGAUACUGGCAGUCUUGAGUACAGUUGAGGUAGGCGGAAUUCGUGGUGUAGCGGUGAAAUGCUUAGAUAUCACGAAGAACCCCGAUUGCGAAGGCAGCUUACUAAACUGUGACUGACAUUGAUGCUCGAAAGUGUGGGUAUCAAACAGGAUUAGAUACCCCAGUAGUC